rnacentral:misc_RNA from 1 species
UACGUAGGUGGCAAGCGUUGUCCGGAAUUAUUGGGCGUAAAGCGCGCGCAGGCGGUCUUGUAAGUCAGAUGUGAAAGCCCCCGGCUCAACCGGGGAGGGUCAUUGGAAACUGGGCGACUUGAGUACAGAAGAGGAGAGUGGAAUUCGACGUGUAGCGGUGAAGUGCGUAGAUAUGUGGAGGAACACCAGUGGCGAAGGCGACUAUCUGGUCUGUAACUGACGCUGAGGCGCGAAAGCGUGGGGAGCAAACAGG